rnacentral:lncRNA from 1 species
AAAGCUUUUGCCGCAGAAGAUUCCGGUUUGUUGUGUUCUUCCUGGCCGGUCGCGAGAACGCGUGUAAGAGUCUCCUGCCCUCUUCCAUACUCCGUUUUCUCCAGACCCUUCCUCUGCAGGUUGGAGAUGAAGUAUGUUGAUGGUGGGUCCUGGAGAAGGGUGAAACCUUCUCUCCUUCCCUAGGGGCUUCUGAGUCCAACAUACAAUGUGGGGUUGAUACCUCAUACCAAGGCUGGUGGGGUAAGAGGAAGAAAGAAGCCUUGAGCCCAGGGCUCCAUGAGGCAGGUCCUCUAUGACAUUUCAACACCCAGGAGAGGAGAUACUCAACUGUCACACAGGGCUAAUUAAAAUACAGACCCACUGUUGUUGGGGCCUCCAUCCUGCACUUCUAAUACGUGUGCAGGGUUGCUAUAUAACCAUGAGGAGGGGCAUUCAGGCCAGGGAUUUCCAAACAUGGCUACAUGUGAGAAUCAUGACAUUGGGUCCCUCAGAGAGGCUGGAUGUUUGUCUGGUCCUGCCUCAGAUGUCACGUGAUUCUGUCGCCAGGGAUGGAGUCUGGCCAGAGGAGGAGAGAACACAAGGGCCUCAGUGUGCCUGUCUGGAGAACAGUAACAAAAGCAGUACCUGCCAAUCACCCCUGCAAGGCAACCAGAAAAACUCAUCAUAGAUGCUCAUCCAUCCCUUCCAAAAUCCAGCAAGGAGUGACGAGGCAAGAAGGCUCCUUGUCACCCACAUUUGCCCCAGGUCACUUGCGCAUUAGUUACUCGUCUUUCUAUUCCCCAAAUACUUGAAACCAGAGAGUAGCAGAAAGCAGGGUGUGGAGCUGGCCUAUCAAACACUGAGGCCAGUCCCCACCUGACCCACUCACUCCAACAAGGCUCCCCUCCUCAAGAUCCCACGAUGUUCGAAACCAGCGCUUCCAGCCGGGGACCAAGUGUGCAAACACUUGAGUCUGUGGAGGGCAUGUCACAUUGAGAGCACAUUUGCCAACCACUUGAUGUUGGGUAACUUGAAACCUCACAUCUGGUCAACGUGCUGAGAAUCAGUGUGUGUAGAUUCCUCAGCCAUAAAUAUAAGCAUCUAUCACACACACACACACACACACACACACACACACACACAGAGCACAGCACAGAAACCAUCAAGGAAGAGGAAGCAGAAAGACGGAAAGAACCAGAGGCUGGGAGGACCAACAUGAAACAGUGUACAGGCUCAAGCCAGUGGACGCUCCAGCAGGGAAGGGGUGGAGGGAUGGGGCUCCUGAGCUGAGGAGCUAUUGACAGAUAAUGGCUUCUCAGGGAGAGAAAGUCAAUAUUCUUUAGGAUGUGGUCCCUAGUAGAUCAACCAUACUCCAGUGGCUAGGCCCUCACCCGUGGAUAUAUGGGCAGCGCAAAUUGAGCUCAGUUAGUUAAACACUAGAACAAAGAGAGAGAAGAUGGGAGGGGAUGGAUCUGGGAGCAGUUAAGGAUUUGGGGUAAAUCUGAUCAGAAGACACUGUACACAUAUAUGGAAUUCUCAAAGAAUAAAAACGUGACAUAAAUCUCAGACCACCUGACAAUCAGGUGUGUAAGGGGGCCAGGGUGAUGGCUUCGCUCACUGAGACAUCAGGUCAAAGGUCAGGAACUGGAGAAGAAAUGAACCUGAGUUGGGCAUGCUCAGCAGGGGCAGGUGGCUAACUCCAGGGAGUGCACCCCAUUGGGUGAUUUCAUCCUGACAGACUGGGUGUUGGAAGGGGGAUGUGUGUGUGUGUGUGUGUGUGUGUGUGUGUGUGUGUAAGGGGGGGGGGACAAACAAGAUAGAAUUUGGAAAAGGAGGUUUUUCUAGUGAACAAUCAAGAAUCUGCUGGACCCUCCUCCUUCCUCAGCGAAGAUGAUGGAGAACAACUUUCAUUCCACAGAAGGGCAUCUGCCUGUCUCCCACAUGGAGAUGGGAUUGAAAUAGCUUUUUCAGAUCUUCCCGUUAAGCUGUCACCUGUGCCCCCCCACACACACACACACCCAGCUCUCCAAGGAGUCCCUCUUCCUCUCCUCCACCCCCAAUAGCAGUUAUCUGGGCUCAGGAAGAACAGCUCAAUCUUCCUGCCGUCUGCAGCUGUCUCUGUCACAAUAGAGUGGCUCAGGGCCCUGAAGACAGCACACAGCUUUGGAAAGACAGGCUGGAGUGUGCAGGGUGCAGGAGGGGUGGGAGGUUGGGAGGUUUUGAAGCCCCGCUGGGGCCAUCCUUCACAUGGUCAGCCCUGCCCGGGGGUCCUGCGGGGUCCAGGGCGAGUUAAGGAAGCAGCUGUCACGGAGCUGGGUCUGAGAGUGAUCACAAGAUGACAUAGCUAAAAAAGCUUCACUUUAAGGUAGGGAAGGUAAAUGCCACUUCUGGGCCGGCACCCGCUCCCUGGACUGGGAACGAGAUAAUGAAUUAUUACCCAAGGAAAUGAAACCUCUAAUAAAUUCAAAAGCAAAGCUGGGGGAGGCUAAACUCCAUUUUUACGAAGGAGCGGGUGAUUUAUAAAGUGUCUGCUUCCUGGGCCUCCUGGGGCUCCAUCAACUCUCCGUGUCCCCCCUCGUCUCCCCUGCAGGGAGGCCUCUGCUCCUUCUGGACAUACAGCUCCCCCAACUACAAAGCCCCCCAACUGACACUUGCCUCUGAUGCUCCUUUUUCUCUCCCCUGUGUGAACUACUCUCAACCCAGUGGGAAUUUAAAACCUGAACACAGCUGAAAUUUGGGCCAAUUGGUUUCGAGAGCUCAGUCCCCAAGGAUUGGCCACUAGGAAAUCUGUCUUCCUUAGGAGUCCAUUCCGACCUUUGAGCCAACAAAUUACAAGUAGAACCAGCUCAGAAUAGGCAAUCAGGCUCCGGGAUGCAGAGCUGGCUCCAGGCAGGGCGCGGCUCAGGCAGGGGCCGAUAAUCCACUUUGCCUGAAUCGCACAAUCCCAGCCUCCCCCCACCCCCACCCCCGCUCCGGUUUGGGGGAAACUGGCUGGCUACAUUUUUCCUUCCCUGUGCCACUUCUAAUACCUUUCAAGCUCCAUUCUGCAAACACUGGCCCCUCCAACCCCAGCCCAAAGCCAUCGGACCCCUGCUGUCUGACCUCAUUGCCCGUUUCCGCAGCGACCGGACUUGUGAUGUCACAGGCUUAAGCCAGUGAGUCUUCAAGUGGGUGGAACCACAGCAGCAGGUUCUGCCGGGCUUCAUGCAGAACCUGCAAAUUCAUGAUGACCUUUUCAGAGCUGGACCAAUUACUCUCAAAUAAAAUGACUUAAGCAGCGGAGAGACGCAUGUUUAAAACAAUCUGACAGAGAGAGCCUCAGAUCGGCUGCAGCUGUUCCUGACCUGAUGACUUCUGGCUUCAUGGAAGGAGUUGUUUAUUGCUCACGAGUCAUGGACACACCCUAGGCAGCUGGGAGAUGCUUUAAGGAUCGGGCACGGUGUAGAUGGCCACCCCACAAAUCAGCUGGUAAUGCUGACCUUGGGUCACACACCAGAU